rnacentral:ncRNA from 1 species
UUUUUUCGUGAUGCUAAGUUACAAGAAUUUGUUUAUUGUUCGGCGGCGAUCUCCUAAGCACUGUUUGCAUCAUACUUUUUUUUUUCGUUUUUCCUUUUUGCGUGUGUGCGCUUUAUAUUAACGUAUAUUUGUGUUAUGAGAGGAGAUGAACACUUUCAUUAGAACAAAACCAAUCGGACCUGGUAUCCGUGGUGACUUCGUGUAACUUCGGGCUAAUCGCACAGCCUCAUCCCGAUGACGAACCUUUCAAGAAUCUUCCUUAUCAGCUACUAUGGUAGAUCACGAGUCUACAACUGUCCUAACGGAUGACGGGGAAUCAGAAUUCGAUUUCGGAAAGAAAGCCUGAAAAAUGGCUACCUCAACCAAGGGAGGCAGCACGCGCGCAAAUUACCCAUACCCAGGACAAGCAGCCACUGACGAAAAAUAACACUAUGGAACUCCUUUGAGACCCUGUAACUGGAAAGAAUACUCUAAAUCCUUUAAUGAGAAUCAGCUGGUGGCCAAGUCUGGUGCCAGCUGCCACAGUAAAUCCCGCUCCAAUA